GGAAGAGUGCCCGAGUGGUUUAAGGGAACAGUCUUGAAAACUGUCGUGGGUUAAAGCUCACCGAGAGUUCGAAUCUCUCCUCUUCCU
rnacentral:tRNA from 1 species